rnacentral:lncRNA from 1 species
UUUAACCACGUAAAUGUAACCCGCGACCCAAACACUUCCUAACCCUGUUCGGAGUCAAUGUGAUAUUAUUAAGCUGUGUUAAAAUUCUAAGUUUGGAGUAAACCCCAUAAGUAUCGAAAACCAAGGCGAGUGCUAAAAAAAUAUAGAAUAAAGAAGAAAAAAACCAAUUGUCGAAAAAAAAUUGUUCGAAAAGAAGCACUUGGUUGAAAAAAAAAAGAAUUUCAAAGAAAAAAAACCCGAGCGAUUGAAAAAAGAAAUAAAGUAAAAUGAAUAAACACAAUGAAGAGAAUAUUGACACUGGCUCUGAACCCAAAACCACUUGUUUUCCUUUUUUUGUAUUUAGCACACCA